AACGAACGCUGGCGGCAUGCCUAACACAUGCAAGUCGAACGAGACCUUCGGGUCUAGUGGCGCACGGGUGCGUAACGCGUGGGAACCUGCCCUUAGGUUCGGAAUCACUCCCCGAAAGGUGUGCUAAUACCGGAUAAUGUCUUCGGACCAAAGAUUUAUCGCCUUUGGAUGGGCCCGCGUUGGAUUAGCUAGUUGGUAGGGUAAAAGCCUACCAAGGCGACGAUCCAUAGCUGGUCUGAGAGGAUGAUCAGCCACACUGGGACUGAGACACGGCCCAGCCUCCUACGGAAGGCAGCGGUGGGGAAUAUUAGACGAUGGACGCAAGCCUGAACCAGCAAUGCCGGGGGAGUGAUGCGGGCAGUAGGGUUGUAAAGCUGUUUUAGACGGAAAGAUAAUGACAGUACCGGGAGAAUAAGCUCCGGCUAACUACGUG
rnacentral:rRNA from 1 species